rnacentral:rRNA from 1 species
AUUGAACGCUGGCGGCAUGCUUUACACAUGCGAGUCGAACGGCAGCGCGGGCUUCGGCCUGGCGGCGAGUGGCGAACGGGUGAGUAAUACAUCGGAACGUGCCCAGUAGUGGGGGAUAGCUCGGCGAAAGCCGGAUUAAUACCGCAUACGACCUGAGGGUGAAAGCGGGGGAUCUUCGGACCUCGCGCUAUUGGAGCGGCCGAUGGCAGAUUAGCUAGUUGGUGGGGUAAAGGCCUACCAAGGCGACGAUCUGUAGCUGGUCUGAGAGGACGACCAGCCACACUGGGACUGAGACACGGCCCAGACGCCUACGGGAGGCAGCAGUGGGGAAUUUUGGACAAUGGGCGAAAGCCUGAUCCAGCAAUGCCGCGUGUGUGAUGAAGGCCUUCGGGUUGUAAAGCACUUUUGGCGGGAACGAAAAGGACUGUGCCAAUACCACGGUUCGAUGACGGUACCCGCAGAAUAAGCACCGGCUAACUACGUG